rnacentral:lncRNA from 1 species
ACUUCAGUUCAAAAGUUUGGGGUCACUUGGAAAUGUCCUUAUUUUUUAAAGAAAAGCAAAUUUUUGUCCAUUAAAAUAACAUCAAUUUGAUCAGAAAUACAGUGUAGACAUUGAUAAUGUUAUAAAUGACUAUUGUAGCUGGAAACGGCAGAUUUUUAAUGGAAUAUCUACAUAGGUGUACAGAGGCCCAUUAUCAGCAACCAUCACUCCUGUGUUCCAAUGGCAUGUUGUGCUAGCUAAUCCAAGAUUAUCAUUUUAAAAGGCUAAUUGAUCAUUAGAAAACCCUUUUGCAAUUAUGUUAGCACAGCUGAAAACUGUUGUCCUGAUUAAAGAAGCAAUAAAACUGUCCUUCUUUACACUAGUUGAGUAUCUGGAGCAACAGUAUUUGUGGGUUCAAUUACAGGCUCAAAAUGGCCAGAAACAAAGACCUUUCUUCUGAAACUUGUCAGUCUAUUCUUGUUCUGAGAAAUGAAGGCUAUUCUAUGUGAGAACUUGCCAAGAAACUGAAGAUCUCGUACAACGCUGUGUACUACUCCCUUCACAGAACAGCGCAAACUGGCUCUAACCAGAAUAGAAAAAGGAGUGGGAGGCCCCGGUGCACAACUGAGCAAGAGGACAAGUACAUUAGAGUGUCUAGUUUGAGAAACAGACGCCUCACAAGUCCUCAACUGGCAGCUUCAUUAAAUAGUACCUGCAAAACACCAGUCUCAAUGUCAACGGUGAAGAGGCGACUCUGGGAUGCUGGCCUUCUAGGCAGAGUUGCAAUAGAAAAAGCCAUAUCUCAGACUGACCAAUAAAAAGAAAAGAUUAAGAUGGGCAAAAGAACACAGACAAUUGACAGAGGAAGAUUGGAAAAAAGUGUUACGGACAGACAAAUCUAAGUUUGAGGUGUUCGGAUCACAAAGAAGAACAUUCAUGAGACGGUGAAAAAAUGAAAAGAUGCUGGAGGAGUGUUUGACGCCAUCUGUCAUCAUGGUAGAGGCAAUGUGAUGGUCUGGGGCUGAUUUGGUGGUGGUAAAGUGGGAGAUUUAUACAGGGUUAAAGGGGUCUUGAAGAAGGAAGGCUAUCACUCCAUUUUGCAACGCCAUGCCAUACCCUGUGGACGGCGACUAAUUGGAGCCAAUUUCCUCCUACAACAGGACAAUGACCCAAAGCACAGCUCCAAACUAUGCAAGAACGAUUUAGGGAAGAAGCAGUCAGCUGGUAUUCUGUCUAUAAUGGAGUGGCCAGCACCGUCACCGGAUCUCAACCCUAUUGAGCUGUUGUGGGAGCAGCUUGACCGUAUGGUACGUAAGAAGUGCCCAUCAAGCCAUUCCAACUUGUGGGAGGUGCUUCAGGAAGCAUUGGGGUGAAAUCUCUUCAGAUUACCUCAACAAACUGACGACUAGAAUACCAAAGGUCUGCAAAGCUGUAAUUGCUGCAAAUUAAGGAUUCUUUGACAAAAGCAAAGUUUGAAGGACACAAUUAUUAUUUCAAUAAAAAAAUCAUUAUUUAUAACCUUGUCAAUGUCUUGACUAUAUUUCCUAUUCAUUUUUCAACUCAUUUCAUGUAUGUUUUCAUGGAAAAUAAGGACAUUUCUAAGUCACAGAUCAUUUAGAGGAGGCUGGGUUGCUGUAGUUUAUCACAGAUCAUUUAGAGGAGGCUGGGUUGCAGUAGUUUAUCACAGAUCAUUUAGAGGAGGCUGGGUUGCUGUAGUUUAUUACAGAUCAUUUAGAGGAGGCUGGGUUGCUGUAGUUUAUUACAGAUCAUUUAGAGGAGGCUGGGUUGCUGUAGUUUAUCACAGAUCAUUUAGAGGAGGCUGGGUUGCUGUAGUUUAUCACAGAUCAUUUAGAGGAGGCUGGGUUGCUGUAGUUUAUCACAGAUCAUUUAGAGGAGGCUGGGUUGCUGUAGUUUCUUACAGAUCAUUUAGAGGAGGCUGGGUUGCUGUAGUUUAUCACAGAUCAUUUAGAGGAGGCUGGGUUGCAGUAGUUUAUUACAGAUCAUUUAGAAGGAGGCUGGGUUGCAGUAGUUUAUUACAGAUCAUUUAGAGGAGGCUGGGUUGCUGUAGUUUAUCACAGAUCAUUUAGAAGGAGGCUGGGUUGCUGUAGUUUAUCACAGAUCAUUUAGAGGAGGCUGGGUUGCAGUAGUUUAUUACAGAUCAUUUAGAGGAGGCUGGGUUGCUGUAGUUUAUCACAGAUCAUUUAGAGGAGGCUGGGUUGCUGUAGUUUAUCACAGAUCAUUUAGAGGAGGCUGGGUUGCUGUAGUUUAUUACAGAUCAUUUAGAGGAGGCUGGGUUGCUGUAGUUUAUCACAGAUCAUUUAGAGGAGGCUGGGUUGCUGUAGUUUAUCACAGAUCAUUUAGAGGAGGCUGGGUUGCAGUAGUUUAUUACAGAUCAUUUAGAGGAGGCUGGGUUGCUGUAGUUUAUCACAGAUCAUUUAGAAGGAGGCUGGGUUGCUGUAGUUUAUCACAGAUCAUUUAGAGGAGGCUGGGUUGCAGUAGUUUAUUACAGAUCAUUUAGAGGAGGCUGGGUUGCUGUAGUUUAUCACAGAUCAUUUAGAGGAGGCUGGGUUGCAGUAGUUUAUCAGAGAUCAUUUAGAGGAGGCUGGGUUGCUGUAGUUUAUCACAGAUCAUUUAGAAGGAGGCUGGGUUGCUGUAGUUUAUCACAGAUCAUUUAAUUCCAAACAAAAUGGGGUGAUUAUUCUGAAAAACAAAAUACUUGUAAUGUUGAAGCAACACUCUGAUGAGUCCGGCAGUCUUAUCUGCAUUGAGGCUCUUAUAAAUGGGACUAAGGUAGUGUUAUGCAACAUUAAUGCUCCCAACAAGGAGGACCCUGAUGUUUUUCAUGACGUCAACGUUAUACUAGGAAAUAUGGAGGGGCAGAUCGUCCUUCCUGGAGACUUCAACCUUCAUCUAACGGGCAGAUCGUCCUUCCUGGAGACUUUAACCUUCAUCUAUAAUGGGCAGAUCGUCCUUAAUUGAGAAUUUGACCAAGUGAUGGACAAUAUGAUUGACAGAAGUCAAUUUACAGGUAACUCCAUGCCAAAGGAUAGACUUGCAAUACAUAUGCUAGCAGAAGAUAUGGGCCUUACAGACAUAUGGAGAUCAGUCCAUCCUAAUGAUAGAGAAUAUACUUUUUUCUCCCACUGUCAUAAGACACACUCCAGAAAAGAUUUCUUCCUGAUAUCCAAUUUCAUGGUUAAUAAUGUGAUUGAUUGCAAGAUUGGUCCCAUUGUCCUCACAGAUCAUGCUAUAGUAGAGUUACAUGUUGAUAUAAACUCAGUUUUGAUAUAAAUGUGAGGAAGGGUAGAUUUAGACUGAACACCAUGCUGUUACAAGAUGAGAUAUUUAGCCAGUCACUAGCAGAUGAUCUUAGAUCCUUUUUUGAGAUCAACAUACAGUGCCAGUCAAAAGUUUGGACACACCUACUCAUUCCAGGGUUUUUUCUUUAUUUCUACUAUUUUCUACCUUGUAGAAUAAUAGUGAAGACAUCAGGUGUAAAAUAACACAUGUAGAAUCAUGUAGUAACUAACAAAAGUGAUACACAAAUAAAAAUAUAUAUUUUAUAUUUGAGAUUCUUCAAAGUAGCCAUCCUUUGCCUUGAUGAUAGCUUUGCACACUUUUGGCAUUCUCUCAACCAGCUUCAUGAGGUAGUCACCUGGAAUGCAUUUCAAUUAACAGGUGUGGCUUGUUAAAUAUUUAUUUGUGGAAUUUAUUUCCUUCUUAAUGCGUUUUAACCAAUCAGUUGUAUUGUGACAAGGUAGAGGUGUUAUACAGAAGAUAGCCCUAUUUGGUAAAAGGAAAGGAAAGUAAGACCCAGAGUUACGUCUGCUGCAGAGGAUACGUUCAUUAGAGUUACCAGCCUCAGAAAUUGCAGCCCAAAUAAAUGCUUCACAGAGUUCAAAUAACAGACACAUCUCAACAUCAACUGUUCAGAGGAGACUGUGUGAAUCAGGCCUUCGUGGUCAAAUUGCUGCAAAGGAACCACUACUUAAGGACACCAAUAAGAAGAGACUUGCUUGGGCCAAGAAACAUGAGCAAUUAGACCAAUGAAAAUAUUUCCUUUGGUCUGAUGAGCCCAAAUUUGAGAUUUUUGGUUCCAACCGUCGUGUCUUUGUGAGACUCAGAGUAGGUGAACGGAUGAUCUCCGCAUGUGUGGUUCCCACUGUGAAGCAUGGAGGAGGUGGUGUGAUGGUGCUUUGCUGGUGACACUGUCAGUGAUUUAUUUAGAAUUCAAGGCACACUUAACCAGCAUGCUACCACAGCAUUCUGCAGCGAUACGCCAUCCCAUCUGGUUUGAGCUUAGUGGGACUAUAAUUUGUUUUUCAACAGGACAAUGACCCAACACACCUCCAGGCUGUGUAAGGGCUAUUUGACCAAGAAGGAGAGUGAUGGAGUGCUGCAUCAGAUGACCUGGUCUCCACAAUUACCUGACCUCAACUCAAUUGAGAUGGUUUGGGAUGACUUGGAUCGCAGAGUGAAGGAAAAGCAUCCAACAAGUGCUCAGCAUAUGUGGGAACUCCUUCAAGUCUGUUGGAAAAGCAUUCCAGGUGAAGCUGGUUGAGAGAAUGCCAAGAGUGUGCAAAGCUGUCAUCAAGGCAAUGGGUGGCUACUUUGAAAAAUCUAAAAUCUAUUUUGAUUUGUUUAACACAUUUUUGGUUACUACAUGGUUCCAUAUGUGUUAUUUCAUAGCUUUGAUGUCUUCACUUUUAUUCUACAAUGUAGAAAAUAGUAAAAAUAAACAAAAACCCUUGAAUGAGAAGGUGUGUCCAAACUUUUGACUGGUACUAUACAUUAGACCUCACAGCUAAACUGUUUCAAUCAGGAGAAUUACAAGAACUACGGUAGAGUAUUGGAAGAACUAAGGUAGGCCUCACAGCUAAACUGGUUCAAUCAGGGAUAUUACAAGAACUACGGUAGAGUAUUGAAGAACUAAGGUAGGCCUCACAGCUAAACUGGUUCAAUCAGGGAUAUUACAAGAAAUACGGUAGAGUAUUAGAAGAACUAAGGUAGGCCUCACAGCUAAACUGGUUCAAUCAGGGAUAUUACAAGAAAUACGGUAGAGUAUUAGAAGAACAUUUACAUUUUACACUUACGUCAUUUAGCAGACGCUCUUAUCCAGAGCGACUUACAAAUUGGUGCAUUCACCUUAUGAUAUCCAGUGGAACAACCACUUUACAAUAGUACAUCUAUAUCUUUUUUUUUGGGGGGGGGGUUAGAAGGAUUACUAUAUCCUAUCCCAGGUAUUCCUUAAAGAGGUGGGGUUUCAGCUGUCUCCGGAAGGUGGUGAUUGACUCCGCUGUCCUGGCGUCGAGAGGGAGCUUGUUCCACCAUUGGGGUGCCAGAGCAGCGAACAGUUUUGACUGGGCUGAGCAGGAACUGUGCUUCCGCAGAGGUAGGGGGGCCAGCAGGCCAGCGGUGGAUGAAAGCAGUGCCCUUCUUUGGGUGUAGGGACUGAUCAGAGCCUGAAGGUACGGAGGUGCCGUUCCCCUCACGGCUCCGUAGGCAAGCACCAUGGUCUUGUAGCAGACGCGAGCUUCAACUGGAAACCAGUGGAGAGAGCGGAGGAGCGGGGUGACGUGAGAGAACUUGGGAAGGUUCAACACCAGACGGGCUGCGGCGUUCUGGAUGAGUUGUAGGGGUUUGAUGGCACAGGCAGGGAGCCCAGCCAACAGCGAGUUGCAGUAAUCCAGACGGGAGGUCUCACAAGUAAACUGGUUCAAUCAGGAGUAUUACAAGAACUACGGUAGAUCAUCUCAGAUUUACAAAGUAUGGGGUAUUUCAAACAUUUUGGCUAGUAUUGGCAAACUCAUAAAGUACUGCACAUUCCCAAAUCAACAAAAUAUGGACUAGGGAGUCUGUCUGCAGUUUCCCACUAUGACUGACUGGUGGUAGUUUAGACUGCUUCAGACACUCACCCAUCUGGCGAAUCCCUGGAUAGAAGCCUAGAGAAUCCCUUGCCUGGAUUUUAUACUGACAACCACAGGCUGUACUGUACUGCCCUCCAUAGGCCUUUACACAGACAGACGGACGGACGGACGGACAGACGGAGGGGCUAUGGGUUUACCUUCCCUGGCUGCUGAAGCCUACAGGAGAGGAGAGCACCCUUCCUCCCUCUCUCUCUCUCUCUCUUUCUUUCUUUCUUUCUUUCUUUCUUUCUUUCUUUCUUUCUUUCUUUCUUUCUUUCUUUCUUUCUUUCUUUCUUUCUUUCUUUCUUUCUU